CUUUGUCAUUUCCUUUUUAAGACAUACAUUCUUUUUACCAAUCUUCAUCAACUCGUUAUGUAAAUCUUUAAAAGCAUCAUACAAUUCAUCAUAGGUGGGAUCACUUACCUCAUUGAGAUCAUCAUCCCCUCAUAUUGCCAUGAGUGCUAGGUUUUAUACUUCUUGCGAUCCUUCUUCAUCACUUGAUUCUUCCUCACUAUCAUCCCAAGUUGCAACCAUUGCUUUCUUCUUGAGUUUGUUGAUAAGUGGGCACUCCGAUCUUAUAUGUCCAGGCUUCUUACAUUCAUAGCAUGUGAUUGCCUCCUUCUUCUCCCUAUGGUUCUUGAAGUUUCUGAAAUUUUU
rnacentral:lncRNA from 1 species